CCUACGGGUGGCAGCAGUGAGGAAUAUUGGUCAAUGGGCGCGAGCCUGAACCAGCCAAGUCGCGUGAGGGAAGACGGUCCUAUGGAUUGUAAACUUCUUUUGUAGGGGAGUAAAAGUCGCCACGCGUGGGGUUCUGAGAGUAUCCUACGAAUAAGCAUCGGCUAACUCCGUGCCAGCAGCCGCGGUAAUACGGAGGAUGCGAGCGUUAUCCGGAUUUAUUGGGUGUAAAGGGCGUGUAGGCGGGAGGGCAAGUCAGAUGUGAAAUCUCAGGGCUCAACCCUGAGCCUGCAUUUGAUACUGUGUUACUUGAGUGCGGAAGAGGCAGUCGGAAUGACGUGUGUAGCGGUGAAAUGCGUAGAUAUACGGAAGAACACCAGUGGCGAAGGCAGAUUGCUAAACAGUAACUGACGCUGAGGCGCGAAAGCGUGGGGAGCGAACAGGAUUAGAUACCCGGGUAGUC
rnacentral:rRNA from 1 species